CCUACGGGAGGCAGCAGUGAGGAAUAUUGGUCAAUGGACGCAAGUCUGAACCAGCCAUGCCGCGUGCAGGAAGACUGCCCUAUGGGUUGUAAACUGCUUUUGUACGAGGGUAAACUCAGAUACGCGUACCUUUCUGAAUGUAUCGUACGAAUAAGGAUCGGCUAACUCCGUGCCAGCAGCCGCGGUAAUACGGAGGAUUCAAGCGUUAUCCGGAUUUAUUGGGUUUAAAGGGUGCGUAGGCGGUCUGGUAAGUCAGAGGUGAAAUCCCGAGGCUCAACCUCGGAAUUGCCUCUGAUACUGGUAGGCUAGAGAGUAGUUGCGGUAGGCGGAAUGCAUGGUGUAGCGGUGAAAUGCUUAGAGAUCAUACAGAACACCGAUUGCGAAGGCAGCUUACCAAGCUGCUUCUGACGUUGAGGCACGAAAGCGUGGGGAGCAAACAGGAUUAGAUACCCUUGUAGUC
rnacentral:rRNA from 1 species